AGCGAACGCUGGCGGCAGGCCUAACACAUGCAAGUCGAACGGACCCUUCGGGGUUAGUGGCGGACGGGUGAGUAACACGUGGGGACGUGCCUUUAGGUUCGGAAUAGCUCCUGGAAACGGGUGGUAAUGCCGAAUGUGCCCUUCGGGGGAAAGAUUUAUCGCCUUUAGAGCGGCCCGCGUCUGAUUAGCUAGUUGGUGAGGUAACGGCUCACCAAGGCGACGAUCAGUAGCUGGUCUGAGAGGAUGACCAGCCACACUGGGACUGAGACACGGCCCAGACUCCUACGGGAGGCAGCAGUGGGGAAUCUUGCGCAAUGGGCGAAAGCCUGACGCAGCCAUGCCGCGUGAAUGAUGAAGGUCUUAGGAUUGUAAAAUUCUUUCACCGGGGACGAUAAUGACGGUACCCGGAGAAGAAGCCCCGGCUAACUUCGUG
rnacentral:rRNA from 1 species